AGCUUUGCACAGUGGCAGUAUUGUAGCCAAUGAGGUUUAUCCGAGGCGUGAUUAUUGCUAAUUAAAAAAAAAAAAAAAAAAAAGACAAUCUCUGCCUUCACUAAGUG
rnacentral:snRNA from 1 species